rnacentral:rRNA from 1 species
UACGUAGGGGGCGAGCGUUGUCCGGAGUUACUGGGCGUAAAGCGCACGCAGGCGGUCUGCUAAGUUUGGAGUGACAGUUGGUGGCUUAACUGCCAAAGUGCUUCGAAAACUGACAGACUUGAGGGCUUCAGAGGGACACGGAAUUCCAGGUGUAGCGGUGAAAUGCGUAGAUAUCUGGAGGAACACCGGUGGCGAAGGCGGCAUCCUGGACCGAUACUGACGCUGAGGAGCGAAAGCCAGGGGAGCAAACGGG